rnacentral:tRNA from 1 species
GCCGCAGUAGCUCAGGGGUAGAGCGCAUCAUUGGUAAUGAUGAGGUCGGGAGUUCAAUUCUCCCCUGUGGCACCA